GCCUUCGUAGCUCAGUUGGCAGAGCAUUCCUAUGGUAAGGGAAAGGUCCCCGGUUCAAAUCCGGCCGUAGGCUGCA
rnacentral:tRNA from 2 species